rnacentral:rRNA from 1 species
CCAAGGAGUCUAACAUGUGCGCGAGUCACUGGGUACAACUAAACCCAAAGGCGCAGUGAAGGCGAAAGAGCUUUUUCAUUUUGAGAUGAUGGAGGUGUCCCGAUGAGGCCCUCCCGCAAUCUCGGGGCGAUCCGAGCCGCGUAGCGGCUGAGGUCGUACCUUGAGCGCACAUGCUGGGACCCGAAAGAUGGUGAACUAUGCCUGGAUAGGACGAAGUCAGGGGAAACCCUGAUGGAAGUCCGGAGCUCUUCUGACGUGCAAAUCGAUCGUAUGAGCUGGGUAUAGGGGCGAAAGACCAAUCGAACCAUCUA